GGUAGAGAGAAGCUUGCUUCUCUUGAGAGCGGCGGACGGGUGAGUAAUGCCUAGGAAUCUGCCUGGUAGUGGGGGAUAACGUUCGGAAACGGACGCUAAUACCGCAUACGUCCUACGGGAGAAAGCAGGGGACCUUCGGGCCUUGCGCUAUCAGAUGAGCCUAGGUCGGAUUAGCUAGUUGGUGAGGUAAUGGCUCACCAAGGCGACGAUCCGUAACUGGUCUGAGAGGAUGAUCAGUCACACUGGAACUGAGACACGGUCCAGACUCCUACGGGAGGCAGCAGUGGGGAAUAUUGGACAAUGGGCGAAAGCCUGAUCCAGCCAUGCCGCGUGUGUGAAGAAGGUCUUCGGAUUGUAAAGCACUUUAAGUUGGGAGGAAGGGCAGUUACCUAAUACGUGAUUGUUAUGACGUUACCGACAGAAUAAGCACCGGCUAACUCUGUGCCAGCAGCCGCGGUAAUACAGAGGGUGCAAGCGUUAAUCGGAAUUACUGGGCGUAAAGCGCGCGUAGGUGGUUAGUUAAGUUGGAUGUGAAAUCCCCGGGCUCAACCUGGGAACUGCAUUCAAAACUGACUGACUAGAGUAUGGUAGAGGGUGGUGGAAUUUCCUGUGUAGCGGUGAAAUGCGUAGAUAUAGGAAGGAACACCAGUGGCGAAGGCGACCACCUGGACUGAUACUGACACUGAGGUGCGAAAGCGUGGGGAGCAAACAGGAUUAGAUACCCUGGUAGUCCACGCC
rnacentral:rRNA from 1 species